AUUGAACGCUGGCGGCAUGCCUUACACAUGCAAGUCGAACGGUAACAGGGAGCUUGCUCCGCUGACGAGUGGCGAACGGGUGAGUAAUGUAUCGGAACGUACCUUUCAGUGGGGGAUAACGUAGCGAAAGUUACGCUAAUACCGCAUAUUCUGUGAGCAGGAAAGCAGGGGACCUUCGGGGCUUGCGCUGGUUGAGCGGCUGAUAUCAGAUUAGCUAGUUGGUGAGGUAAAGGCUCACCAAGGCGACGAUCUGUAGCGGGUCUGAGAGGAUGAUCCGCCACACUGGAACUGAGACACGGUCCAGACUCCUACGGGAGGCAGCAGUGGGGAAUUUUGGACAAUGGGGGCAACCCUGAUCCAGCCAUGCCGCGUGAGUGAAGAAGGCCUUCGGGUUGUAAAGCUCUUUCGGCCGGGAAAAAAUCGCAUGGGCUAAUACCCUGUGUGGAUGAUGGUACCGGAAUAAGAAGCACCGGCUAACUACGUGCCAGCAGCCGCCGCGG
rnacentral:rRNA from 1 species